UUCCAACGACGACGACGACUGCCAGUCGACGCAGCCAUGUCAGUGGCACCAGCGGCCCGUGCUGUUGACCUCGGAUUCUGUGGGAAAAGUUUCUUCGGCGCUGUACCGUUUCUCUAGCAUAGAUGCUUGAAUUCCCACGUGGGUGCUAUGCUCUCUGACUAUAAGUGAACAUUCUCACGCAGCAGCCUCGUUCUCGUGAGUUCGUCAUGUCGCAGUCUUCCGUUCAUCUUUAGACCUCAUUCAGUUGAAACCAUUGUGUUGUGUUGCUUUUAGAUCGUCCUCUCCUGGUAGGUCAUUGAUAACCCGUACCAGAACGGGCUUUCCUAUACUCAUCUUGUACUGAUUCCCUGAAACGCAUGUUCGUCCCCUCAGCGUUCGUCCUCAGUCUCGCUGGUGCAUGCGCUCCGCUGACAAUCCUUUACAUCUAUGUUCAAAUAGUUUUAACUCUGCUGCUAAAUGAACGUCGGCGAAAAUAUUUUUAGGUAUGGUGCAAACAUCUCAUAUUCGCGUAUGCAUCGACUUACUGCGUUUCGAAGCGCAAUGGACGGCGCUGGUGGACGCUGACAAGACAGAUAGUUUUAAAUUCGUAACCGCUGAAUAUACACUCGAUGUAUUUCCUAUGAUUGUCCUGACUUAUUUUCGAUGUGGUCCCUAUGCAGCGGUCAGUAUUCUGAUAAUAUUUGUUGUGGUAUCCAUGCCUGGAAAUUGGUCUGUCUGGAACAACCAUGAUUCUUAGAGCUUAGAACAGAAUUAUAUCGUGAUAGGAACGCGCACUUUAUGCGUCUUCCCACGUCUUCUCCCGACCUCUGCGAAAAGUGUUAGCGUUAGGUUUGUCGUUUGCACUAUACUUGACGCUCGGCGUACGACGUCGUUAUUCGCAUAAUUUCAAGCGGCUUAUGAACUGUUAUGCUUGAGAGUAAUAUAUGAUGUGAUACUUGUUGACCCCGAAUAUUCUUGGAUUUCUAUACUGAGACUAGGAUCGACUGGGAUUGAUUAUCGCUAUUGCACAUCGCAUCACACAGCAAACUAACAACGAGGAGGUUCUUCCUUCUCCCCUGUGUUUUUGGCGAGAUGCGGUCUGUUCACACAGAGCGCGAAGCAAUGGUAUCGCCCAAGACCCUUCGCGCCCUCAAGACCCUGUUGCGUUUGGUCGUAAGCGUGGCACUGCUUGCUGUGUCGUGCAUUAUAGCAGUCGAGCGACCGCCAUUCUGGCCAUUUUGGUUCGUGCUUGCUUGUUUGGGUGCAUUGCCCGCAAGCACCAUGCCCUUGCCCCUGAAAUGGCCCUAUAAGACUGAUCAACCCCAAUCUCGGGACAGCGUGCCCUCCGCCCAAUGUGCUACCAUCACCGCAAACCGAAGAGGUUCACGUGAAAGCGGCGACUGGAUGGCAGUAACCCCGAAUGAACUGCGACCUGGCAUCUACCACGUCAUCGCCCUCGAACCUGACAGCGGCAUGUCGUCGGACAGUCAGGGCAUCGCAGUGGAAGUAAUCGUCGUUGCCGACGUCCACCGCGAAUCCUCCAACGCCACCGUCUACCAUACCGCGCAGAAUAUUGCUGCAUCAGUGUAAGCCACCAACGACGAUGGAUGGGGGAACGAGCACGCGUGCAUCACAAGACAGACGCCAACCAAUCACAACGACCGCUACUUCACCUUAUGGCGCAUCGCAUGGUCGAACCACUGCCCUUCAUUCAAGGGCUGUCUGUCGUGGUGCCCUGAAGCAGCACGCUCGCGCUGGGCGGUAAAUAAUGGGCAGGUGCGGCUACCAUGGUGCUUCGAAUGUUGGUUCCGCAACGAAGAACGUGGAUGAAGGAGAACUGACAUGUUCAGCAUCACACACUAAGAGCUAAGCAUUUGCCUACAAGAAUUCGGACAUGUCCUAGAAGAUGCCGAGUUCGGAUGAGACACUGUAACGCCAUGCCUGACAUGUGUGAGCGCUGCUCUGGAAUGCGACAGUGAUAGCUCUUCUAUUGAACUGCAAUGAUGCUUCUAAGGAGCACCAAAAUGAAUGGUAAAUGAAAAAUUCAUCAAAGCGUCCUCACACGUGAAAAUUUCACUUCGAGCGUCAGAGUGUGCUGGAGCACAUGAGAUCAUCGCUGAGGAACAACAAAGUUUGCAUCCCGCAAGAUAAAGAUGAACAGAGAUACGAAGAUAUAUAAACAAGAGAGACAAAGAACGCCAGAUUGAACACUACAAGCCGGUUCCGUCGACCUGCAUUGCGGCCACCAGCGAUGGAAGAUCCGAGACCGCCUCAGAACAAAUUGAGAACGAUGAACACGUGAUCAUGAAAUCAUAGGCUUGGUACUACAAGGAGGGUACUCCAGUUCCUAUUGCGUCCUCCAGAACAGACGCGAAACAAAUUCACACCGACGAUCAGGGCAACGAAGGCUUCGAGAACAGCCUCUGAAUGACGUCAGAAGAAUAAACAAGUAAUCUAGAAACCAUAGAUCGGGCGCCAUAACACGGGUCCUUCAACUCCUGGAGCGCCCACCAGCAUCAAGGUAUUUGAGAACAGCAAAAAGAAUUCGAACACGACCGGAAAACGGCAGGCUAGGCUAGACAAGUUGGGUUCCUUUACUCAAUAGCAGAUACCACAAAAAGAAGCUCUGAGAGCAGGCAGAGAAUAUCAUUCAGAGAGACGAACAAGAGCGAGAAGGGUAAUUUGGGAAAACACUACACGCGGUUUUCUUUGCCCCCGUAGACCCCACCGCAACCGGAACCUCUCAGAACAGCAUCUGAACGAUUGGCAAGAAAGACGCUACAAACGGCUAUCUUGUACUCUUUUCACCCUCGAGUUUCCUCUCCGAAGUGUACUACGGAAGACACGACUCCGGUUGGUUUGAACUCUCAAAACCGCUCUCCCUUGUAGCGCUCGCCAGCAACGGAUGCUUCGAGAGGGGUCUCGGAAUCAAUUCAGAACGACGAACAAGGAAGAAGCAACCAUAGACGGUACCCCACAAACCGUUUUCUUGUAAGCAUCAAUAGUUUCGAGAGCAGCCUCUGAGUAAAUUCAGGACGAUGAGCAAGAGAGCAAGAAUGCAUAGGUCGGAUGCUACAAGUCGUGUUUUUCAACUCCUAUAGCGCCCACCAGCAAUGGAAGGUUCGAGAGCAGCCUCUGAAUAAAGCCAUUAUGAUGAACAGGA